rnacentral:rRNA from 1 species
AUACGGAGGGUGCAAGCGUUGUCCGGAUUUAUUGGGUUUAAAGGGUGCGUAGGUGGCGUGUUAAGUCAGUGGUGAAAGCCUGCAGCUCAACUGUAGAGGUGCCAUUGAUACUGACAUGCUUGAGUAUGGACGAGGUAGGCGGAAUUUGUGGUGUAGCGGUGAAAUGCAUAGAUACCACAAAGACCACCGAUAGCGAAGGCAGCUUACUGGACCAUAACUGACACUGAGGGACGAAAGUGUGGGUAGCGAACAGGAUUAGAAACCCUAGUAGUCC